rnacentral:lncRNA from 1 species
CAAAAGUGAGAGAUCUAAGGUGUCAGGACGGUAUCAAUCUUGUUAGAUUUUUCUCAGCUUCCUAACAGAACCUAUGUAAGACAACCUAUAUACUCGUAGGGUAUGCAUUUUCAAAAGUGAGAGAUCUAAGGUGUCAGGACGGUAUCAAUCUUGUUAGAUUUUUCUCAGCUUCCUAACAGAACCUAUGUAAGACAACCUAUAUACUCGUAGGGUAUGCAUUUAACAUAAAAACAAAAAAUAAUAUUAUGGCAAAUUAGAUAGAAAUAAAUGAACGAUUAGAUAAACGAAGGACAAAAAGUUUGUUAUGGCUAAAAAUAGAAACAAAUAAACGAAAGACAAGGA